UACAGAGGUCUCAAGCGUUGUUCGGAAUUACUGGGCGUAAAGGGUGCGUAGGUGGCGCGCUAAGUCAGGUGUGAAAUUUCGGAGCUUAACUCCGAAACUGCAUUCGAUACUGGCGUGCUUGAGGACUGGAGAGGAGACUGGAAUUCAUGGUGUAGCAGUGAGAUGCGUAGAGAUCAUGAGGAAGACCAGUGGCGAAGGCGGGUCUCUGGACAGUUCCUGACACUGAGACACGAAGGCCAGGGGAGCAAACGGG
rnacentral:rRNA from 1 species